rnacentral:misc_RNA from 1 species
AAACCCUCAAGCGCACGUGGUGUUGGGUGCUUGUCCCGCCUCUGGGCGACUCACCUCAAAUCCAGUGGCAGCCCGCAUCCGCCGGCCGUGAGCGCACGACAAUGGCGCUUCGGUCCAGGUGAAUCGGCUCUCCAGAAGCCAUUUUCUAGUUUAACCUCGGAUCAGGUAGGAUACCCGCUGAACUUAAGCAUAUCAAUAG